UACGUAGGGUGCAAGCGUUGUCCGGAAUUACUGGGCGUAAAGCGCACGUAGGCGGCUUUUCAAGUCAGGGGUGAAAGCCCGGGGCUCAGCCCCGGAAUAGCCCUUGAAACUGGAAGGCUAGAAUCACGGAGAGGUGGGUGGAAUUCCGAGUGUAGAGGUGAAAUUCGUAGAUAUUCGGAAGAACACCAGUGGCGAAGGCGGCCCACUGGACGUGUAUUGACGCUGAGGUGCGAAAGCGUGGGGAGCAAACAGG
rnacentral:rRNA from 1 species